rnacentral:rRNA from 1 species
AGUUCGAUUAUGGCUCAGAUUGAACGCUAGCGGGAUGCCUUACACAUGCAAGCCGAACGGCAGCACGGGACUUCGGUCUGGUGGCGAGAGUGGCGAACGGUGAGCAAUGUAUCGAACGCCUAGUAUGUGGGGAUAACUACGCGAAAGCGUAGCCAAUACCGCAUACGCCCCUUCGGGGGAAAGCGGGGGGACCUUCGGGCCUCGCACUAUUAGAGCGGCCGAUAUCGGAUUAGUUGUGUUGCGGGGUAACGGCUCACCAAGGCGACGAUCCGUAGCUGGUUUGAGAGGACGACCAGCCACACUGGGACUGAGACACGGCCCAGACUCAUGGAGGCAGCAGUGGGGAAUUUUGACAAUGGGGAAACCCUGAUCCAGCCAGUCUGCGUGAAGAUGAAGGCCUUCGGGUUGUAAAGCACUUUCUUUGGCAGGAAGAACGGCAUCGGGAUAAUACCCUACGCACACUGACGGUACUGCAGAAUAAGCACCGGCUAACUACGUGCCAGCAGCCGCGGUAAUACGUAGGGUGCAAGCGUUAAUCGGAAUUACUGGGCGUAAAGUGGCGCGGUUCGGAAAGAAAGAUGUGAAAUCCCAGAGCUUAACUUUGGAACUGCAUUUUUAACUACCGAGCUAGAGUGUGUCAGGGAGGGAGGUGGAAUUCCGCGUGUAGCAGUGAAAUGUAGAUAUGCGGAGGAACACUGAUGGCGAAGGCAGCCUCCUGGGAUAACACUGACGCUCAUGCACGAAAGCGUGGGAGUGUAAAACAGGAUUAGAUACCCUGGUAGUCCAGUCAAACGAUGUCAACUAGCUGUUGGGGCCUUCGGGCCUUCGGUAGCGCAGCUAACGCGUGAAGUUGACCGCCUGGGGAGUACGGUCGCAAGAUUAAAACUCAAAGGAAUUGACGGGGACCCGCACAAGCGGUGGAUGAUGUGAUUAAUCUGAUGCAACGCGUUCCACUUACCCUUGACAUGUCUGGAAUCCCGAAGAGAUUUGGGAGUGCUCGCAAGAGAACCGGAACACAGGUGCUGCAUGGCUGUCGUCAGCUCGUGUCGAGAUGCUUGGGUUGUCCCGCAACGAGCGCAACCCUUUGCCGCUGAAGGCACGAAAGGGCACUUUAAUGAGACUGCCGGUGACAAACCGAGGAAGGUGGGAUGACGUCAAGUCCUCAUGGCCCUUAUGGGUAGGGCUUCACACGUCAUACAAUGGUCGGGACAGAGUGGUCGCCAACCCAAGGGGGAGCCAAUCCCAGAAACCCGAUCGUAGUCCGGAUCGCAGUCUGCAACUCGACCGUGUCGGAAUCGUGCUAUAAUCGCGGAUCAGCACGGUCGCGUGAAUACGUUCCGGUCUUUGUACACACCGCCUGUCACACCAUGGGAGUGGGUUUUACCAGAAGUAGUUAGCUCGUCCGUAAGGAGGGCGAUUACUACGGUAUCUUAUGAUCAGUGAAGUCGUGUAACAAGGUAA